GUCAGGAUGGCUGAGGGGGCUAAGGUACCACGUUGAAGGUUUUGUACCUUCUGUGCAAAUGGGACUUCUCGUCUCCAAAUAGAGGCGUGGGUUCGAAUCCCACUCCUGACA
rnacentral:tRNA from 1 species